CUAUCUAUCUCUCUAUCUAUCUCUCUAUCUAUCUCUCUAUCUAUCUCUAUCUAUCUAUCUCUAUCUAUCUAUCUAUCUAUCUAUCUAUCUCUCUAUCUCUCUAUCUCUCUAUCAUCUCUCUAUCUCUCUAUCUCUCUAUCAUCUCUCUAUCUCUCUAUCAUCUCUCUAUCUCUCUAUCUAUCUAUCUAUCAUCUAUCUAUCUAUCUAUCUAUCUAUCUAUCUAUCUAUCUAUCUAUCUAUCUAUCUAUCUGUCUCUCUGUCUCUCUGUCUCUCUGUCUCUCUGUCUCUAUCUCUCUCUAUCUCUCUCUGUGUGUGCAAAAAAGGCUGCUUCUGCAAAUAUCUAGCACAUUUCUGUCAGGUGAUGUAGGAGGGGCAAGAUGGCAGAGACUAUCACCAUCACCACAGCAUUGGCAUAAAGCUCCCAAAAGCACCAGUCCCAAAAAUAAUCAGUCAAAAUGGUGAAUGUUUAUGUGGAGAUGGUUCCAUCUGCUGUCCAUCUGGACAUGAGCUCAUCGAUUUCUGUUGCGAGUGUGCGUGAGGUUUGUUCAAGUUGGACGGCAAGAUUUCAUCUAGCUCCGUAGUGUGUGCUCCACGUUUUUGCUAGGAUGACUACAAUGAAAGUGACUUGAGUGAGCAUAAGAUGGUUUUCAAAACAAAGGAUAAGGUCAGGCUGAAGCCCACCGCUGUACCAUCGGUACACAGCAGUACUCAACUGUGAGAGGGAUAACAAGGAGGUGAGACGGCGUCCACAUCAAUGGCUACACCUGCGCAGAGCCGCAGCCAAUUCAAGACCCCACGAGGAACUGCUGCUCGGAAACUUGAAGUUUGCUUGGUAAUUAUUACUUUUACAUGUACACAUUUACUUCUGAUAUAUUGUAGUAAUGUAGAGGUGUGAUUUUAUGAGUUUAAUUAGAAAUAUCUCUGCUCAUUAGCAUCUGGGUGAGCUGCUAAGGGUUAAUGUUUGUGUAGCUGUAGCCUGUAGGAUGUGAAUAAAGACAAAAAGUUAGCACCCAAAAAUGAAAAUAAAUUGCAUGGUCGACAAUAAGGCGCCGAACAGUUCAGUGUUGUGUUUUGCUAACUUCGUAGCUAAUAAUGCUGCAGGUUCUGACAGUCAUGAGAGAGAGGAAGCUCCUGUGAUCAUUUAGAGGAAUAAAACGGCCUGGCCAGCCAGCCCCAUGCUUCCUUAUUGGAAGUUGUUACGUUCUCCGUGUAGACUUAAACAGAGAAUGAGUCUGGCAGGCCAGGCUAGAAUAAAACAGCCUGGCAAGCCAGUCCUGUGCAUAUAAAUAUACUUCCAGAGCAACAUCUUUUUCUAUUGCUUUAGUUGGUCUAUAUUUCUAUGCUGUAAAAGUAAAAUCCUGUUAUAUAUUCUCCACUGACAUGUUCAGAUUUAGAAAAUAACUCUUACAUAUACAUUUGUACUUGUGUUUUAUAGAUAAUGUCAGGUGUAACUUCACAGGUGGAAGCUGAGCUCAUUCCUGAUGCUGCUGACACACAUGAUGAGGUGGCAGACCUCAGUGAACCGUGCUACUUGAGUCAUCUCCUUUGUCAUCAGGUAAAUGUCAACCAUCACAACACAAAAUAGGUUCCAGGACCAUUCAUGGACAGAGGGGCUGAACCCGUUUGUUUAUCAUUGUACCAAUCUAGUUUUUAUUUAUUUAUUUAUUUAUGCACACACGUGUAUUUUGUGUCAUGAGAAUCAGCUAAGAAAUGUUUUUUGUUGUGUUUUCCUGGAAAAUUAACAAAUAUCUCUAAAAAAAUUUAUAUUAUUAAACAAAGACCUGAUUUUCUCAGGAAAUGGCUCAUCUUUUGUGGGUCAUGACCCAGCUCAUCUUCUUCAAAGAGGAAGGAUAAUUUCUAAAAGCCUCUCUUCGGCUGCGGGUCUCCUUUUCCCGUCUUUCAGCUAAACAGCUGAUGUGUCCACUGGUCCUUCAUCCUCAUCCUUUAUACAUAAAAACCCAUUAAACUAAAGAGAAGUAACAAUCUGUCACAGAUCGCUCCGAUUUCGGCCUCACUAUUUACUCCACAGCUCCGUGACAUGUGGAAGCAGUCCAUCGUGAACCAUCUGUACUGGACCGCUGAAUCCACACCUGAUGGCAACACUGACAUUAUGGAGGCAUGAUGGAAGUUACUUGUGAAUCGUGUUCAGGACAUCCAUGACGAAACACCUGAAUUUCCAGUUUGUCUCCAUCCUCCACUGGAAGAGCAAAGCAGGAACAAGCAGUGACUAGCCCUGAUCGACUUCAGCAGUCAAGUUGGAGAAAGCAGCCUUUCAGCCAGGAUGUGAAGGAUGUGAGGCUGCUGUCCCCUCAGCUCCAGGCAUACUCGAGGUGUUCCACUCCCUCAUCCUGAGAUUUGCUCCUAAGCAUACAGGUUCUCAGACCUUGGCAUGAACACCAGGCACAUUUUAUUCAGCUGGAAUUUUUAAUAAUUUUAUCAGUUCAUGCAAACAUUGAGCCACAUGUCUUUACAGAUACCACACUAGUCCAGAUCAGGCCAGUGGAAGCUUCUGGACUGGCCAUCUUCACCUGGAAAGGCAGCUCUGAUGGCGUUCACUACACAUGAUGUCGCCCGAUGAUGUCAUGUGCCCACUGGAUCAUCUGCCUGUAGACUACAUAGCGAUACUGCCCGUAAUGUAAACGUUGUAAAAAGAUGAUCUCCUCACCUGACAAGCUUGUUUCCUUUCUGUGUUAUUACUAUUACUUCUACAUAUUCUAUUCUGUAUAUAUGUAUACAUAUACUGUGUACUAUGUUAUACUAUGCCAUUUAUGUGUAUAUUUCACUAAUGUUGUUUCUCGCCCCUAACUUGAUAAUAAAAGUUUCAGAGAUGAGCUUUACUCAUUGAGCUGAUGUGUUAUUGUAGAUAAGGUGUAUAAAAAUGCAUGACUGUGUAAAUGAAGCAUGGUGUUAAAAUGUUUUAAAACUUCUUAAGAAAAAUGGAAGAAUAAAUAGUGAAGUUAUGUUGCUAGCUAUCCUUGGCACAACAUGUAUUGUUUGAGACAUUAAAUCUGUUCUAUGAAAACCAAA